CUCAUCUUGGUAAACCCAUUUGGCGAAUUGCUCCCAACCCGCUUCGUUUCCGGUUCGAAUUCUGAAACCACAACACUGCAAUUCAGAGAGAGAGAGAGAGAGAGAGAGAGAGAGUAAAAAUGGCUGGAUUGCUAGCAGGUCAGCAGACGUAGACUUGGAUCAGAAAGCAGCUUCUCUCAGCCGUUCGAUCCAGGAUCUACGGCUCAGGUUCCCUCGCUUCUACCACCCGCGAACAGGUUCGGUUUUCAGUUGUUGAAUUUCUAAGGCUUUUAUCUGGGUCGUUGCUUUUGGCUGUGAUUCUUGAAUUUCACGUCUUCUUCCUUUUCAAAUGUGUGGGUGGGUGUGUGUGCUUUUGAAAUUCUUUAUGUUAUGUAUGUUUUUAUAAAGACAAAACUAUGCAUUGCUAACUAGUUUCCUUAAAAUUCCAAUUUUCUUUUAUACUUUCCUUGUUCUGAUUAUGUGACAACGAAUGGCUGAAGUGAAUUGCUUUCACACGAACUCCAUGUUUUUCUUCAUAUUUUUGGCUGAUUUAACAGUGCUGGUGGACAUGAGGGAGAGAUUGAUGGAAUGUCAGUUGUUUGUCUUAGCUUCCACGCAUCUUAUUAUUGGCAUCAAGUCAACAUGCUGGACCCAGAGAAAUGAUUUUGCCAAUCAUGCAGAUAAACAACUGUCUGCCAGUCGUUGCUAAUCCCUUUCCCAAACAUUAGUUCUCAUGUAGAGUAAGCUGUUUUGGUGCCCUCUUUGAUUGUCUGUGUAACAGUUAGAGUUACAACAAGGUUGUAUAUGGCGCCAGGCAAGAGGAUCCGCUGCGGAAGCGUCAGGCAGAGGAGGUUCCUACCGGCAGAGAAUGUACAAAAUAUUCUACUCCAUGCUUUUAGUAUCUUAGGAUUUCAGCCCUUUGGAGUUCGCAGGUUGGCAGAGUUGAGCAACACCAACCUGAAUCAGAGUUGAAUGUGGAAGAUGAUAGUAUGACUUGGGAAGUAGGAUUUCAAGAUGGAAAAGUUUGCAUCCAUUGUGCUGUCAAUACUCAAUACUAGUCCCGGAACAACUGAGGUUAUUGUUUAUGCGGCACUGUAUUUAAAACAUAGAAGAAAGAAAGAAUUAUUAGAGGAUAAUCAGGAGA